rnacentral:rRNA from 1 species
CCCUACGGGGCGCAGCAGUGGGGAAUAUUGCACAAUGGGGGAAACCCUGAUGCAGCAACGCCGCGUGAGUGAAGAAGUAUUUCGGUAUGUAAAGCUCUAUCAGCAGGGAAGAAAAUGACAGUACCUGACUAAGAAGCCCCGGCUAACUACGUGCCAGCAGCCGCGGUAAUACGUAGGGGGCAAGCGUUAUCCGGAUUUACUGGGCGUAAAGGGAGCGCAGACGGCAGGGCAAGUCUGGUGUGAAAGGCAGGGGCCCAACCCCUGGACUGCUCUGGAAACUGUCCGGCUGGAGUGCAGGAGAGGUA